rfam:Enterococcus pallens ATCC BAA-351 genomic scaffold acvKb-supercont1.2, whole genome shotgun sequence.
GGCUAGGACAAUGUCGGGCUUGUGAAUUGUGUCAGGUCUGGAAGGAAGCAGCACUAAGCAGGAUCCGGCAUGUGUCUGAAAUUAA